rnacentral:tRNA from 1 species
GGGCCCGUAGCUCAGCCAGGACAGAGCGGCGGGCUUUUAACCCGUAGGUCCCGGGUUCGAAUCCCGGCGGGCCCGCCA